UAUCAUGCAAUCUCAUAGACACAAAGCUCACUCCGGCCUUUAUGAAAAAUAAAUACCUGCAAUUAGUUUGCUUACGAAGUGAGAGGCUCCAAAACACAUUAUCAAACAUUGCACAUGUCUUUUUUAUAGGCCGUACUGCCAAAUCAAGCACACAAAUACAAGAGACCUUUGAAAAGUAACAACUAUACGUCAACAAAAUUUUGAUCUAGCCCCCUGCCACACCACCAGUAAAAGGUUAAGCUUUAAGAAAUGUCAAAUGCUGCUCUAUCUGUUCUUAAGGAGAUCAUUUAAGUUCAGCCUUGAUUGGAGUUAUAUCGUUAGCCACCUCAAUUUUUUUCUCAAGCCAAAAACACCAUCUUCUGCUCCAAGGUGAAUAAAUGUCAAAUGCUCCUACAUCUGUUCGUAAGCAGACAUUUGAGGUUCAGUCUUGAUUGGAGUUAUAUCGUCUGCCACGCCAAUUUUUUCUCAAGCCAAAACACAUCAUCUUCUGCUCGAAGGUGAACUUGAUGUUUUCAGCUUGUUCAAAGUGAGGAAAAAACACUUAAAUCCAUGUGAACCUUGGUAACAGGGUUAAAAGCUGCAUAAAUGUAGUUGUAUAAUUUUCAGCCUUUCAGAACCCAUGCUGCUCCCCUUCAUAAGCAACAAAACACAUCACACACAAAAAAAACUGUACCAUAUUUUCACCAGGCAAACUUCAUUCAUGCAAGUGACUGGAAACACACAAAAAAAUGUGGUUGAAGAGGAAAGUUCCCUUCCUUAUGGGUACGUUGUUAGGUACAAAUGAUGCACCCUUGUGGGUCAAACAUGGGUAAACGAGCUUACAACCAUGCGAUCGAGCCAACAAAUCGCCACUCGUUUACCUAGAAGCAACAAAAGUUUCAGAAAAUUUCAAGUGAUUGGAGCCAUGUGGAUCAAACACAGGUGGGCGAGCUUACAACCGGCAUUCUAGGUUCCCAAGUGUUGUGCUUGUACAAGUCCGGUCUAAUUAGGUUCUGAAAAUCAUUAAGUUCCGAUAGGAUCGUCCGUUGAUUUUUGUGUGUGCAUGUAAAUCAUAUAAAUAGUCACCCCGCAAAAAAAAUAAAGCAUACAAAUAGUCAAAACAACUGCAUUGCAUUGAAAUGAACAAUCGGUAAUAUUAAGUAGAAAUAUGUCAGGCCUAAAUUUCAUGAAAGAAACUCUGACGAAAUUUAGGACAGUAAAAAAAUGCACCAUCAGGAAAAAUGGAAAUGGAUCCUACAUUCUUUCAAAAUAGAUAUGUUAGUUAUUUAGUUCACAAUGUCCUGAACAAAUUUUAGGAGAACACAGAAGGACAGAAAAUAGUAUCCUAUCUACUUGUUUCACCUAAGAUGGCAUACUUGUAUAUAACACUAAAAUGGAAGCUACGGUUAGCUCCUCUUAUGACUCAAAAUAUCUUAAGAUUCAUGAGUCAUCAGAGAGGAUGAAACCAUGACCAUUAUAUUAGUUUCUGUUUUCAAGUUCAUAUGUGCCUGUUACUGCUUUUAAAAAACAAUUCGACGUGCUACCAACUGAUAAAACCUUUAGCUUAAUUAGCAUCGAUUGUAGUACAAGUAAACAGUUACUUACCCAGAUUAACACAUAAACUUUGAACGGACAAAAGUACCAAACUGAAUAAAUUGAAAGUUAAACAAAUUUUCACAUGGAGGCUGGAAAAUAUGCCAUUCUCAGAUCUUGAUGAAAACCAAAGAAUUGGUAUUCACCAUAUUUAUCAUAUAUAAGAACUGAUCGGAUACUACAAAAUAAGAUUUGAUCUGCUCACCUUGGGGCAGCAAUCUCCACAACACAUACGCAUAAGGAAGAACACAGGGAGAUCUACCCUAACAUGAUCUUGAAUAUUUUGUGCUGCUGGAGUAGAGAGGGUGAGCGAAGAGUGGCCGGGGAGGAAGCAUAUAUACACGCAUCAGUUGGAAACUGAAGUGUGCAAACGAGAGGUCGCCCCGAGACAUGAAUGCCUGAUUCAAAACUGAAGUAUGAUUGUGUUAAUCAAGGCUGGGUGGAGCAGUUUCCACGAGAUAAUGCGCCAUAAUCGCCCGAGUCCCCCACACCUCCAUACCUUGCAGGCGGAUCGGCCGACGGCUGGAUCGACCGGUCCUCGGUUCACCCGCAUCAGGCGUUUCUGCUUGAUCCCCUCACGCUAGAUUCGCUCGUGAGUGAAUCGUAGGCUGGAUUCGCUCGCGCGUCGGCACGGUCCCACCGUAGGUCGCCUGCUUUGCCUGAAUCGAGCGGCCGCCGCAUCCGCUCUCGUUCGACCGCUCGUCGCAUCCUCUCAACCGCCCUUGAUUCGUUCUUGUGUGGAGCGAGUUUUUUUCUUUUACGGAAAGGGGAGCGCUUGUAGGAGAGGGCCUUCGCUGCGUUGGGCCGAGCAGGAAAAGAUGGCCCAAUUAACAACAUGGAUUCAAAAUAGCUACGGGAGUAGAUGCCCUUGCGGCGAUAGGCCCAGUUCGCAGCCAACAUGGUGUUAACUUUAGAUCGGACGGCCAGGACGUUUAACAAACGAAAUCAAACGGACAGAAAUGCCUAAUUCGUGAGAGGGCAGGGAUUAGGGUCAGUUUUACUGUUCUUAAUGAGGAACAAACCAUGGCAUGAUUCUUGAAUGGCCUCAACCAUCCUAUCAAGAAGAGUGCCGACUUCCAACCUUAUUCCAACCUCCUCGAGCUAGUGCACCAAGCUACCAAGGCGGAGCGACAAGUGCAAGCUGAUUACAAAUACACCAAGUACUCUUCCAAGACCUACGAUUCAUACAACCAAGCUUCAACGACUAUGACGCCUUCUACCUCGACGAAAUCUACACUAAGCAAUGGCGAC
rnacentral:lncRNA from 1 species